GGAAGUUUGAGUGGAUAAGAUGAAGAGUCCCUUGCACAUUGUUUGGAAAAUAUUUGAUGCAAGUAAUAGUGGUAGGUCAUAGUCUUAUGUGGAAAAGUAGGGUGAGGUUGAGACCAUCCCUAGGAAUAAUUGUUGAAUUCUAUUACAAAUGAGAGGUAUUGUUCAAUCAGUGCCGUACUUGAAUGACAUUUCUCUCCUGGAAAUCUCCAUUCCAAAAUCUAUACAAGAUUCAAUCUUACCUGUUCAUAGGGUUAGGGGUUAGGAAUUUACAAAUGGUAAAUGCAUUUAGGAAAGUGAUCAUAAUCUUAAUAGAUUAUGAUCACAUCUCUUUUAUUGAAUACUAACAUUUAUAUGUUUUGUGUAUAGUCUUUCUCUCUCUAUCUCCUUCUCACUCUAUCUCACAUCAUUUGACCUUCUUGGCUUCACAUGCCAUUGACAGGUAAAUAAAUGAUCACUUUAUCUACUCUCAUUGUUAUGCUUUAAUUUUAUGAUUAUAUAUUGCAUACUUUGUUAGGUUUUUGUGUAUAUUUGACAUUGUCCUUGUUUGGCAUUGGUCAUUCAAAAACCUUGGAAACCCAUUCAUUUCCUUAUUCACAUGUAAUGUGAGUGGGAAUUGAAUUGUCUUGAUUAAACAUUUUGAAAUUUCAUCCUCCACUUAACUACAUGGACGAAUAGCAUUUGUUCUAUUAUAUAUGUGUAGGAAUUUCAUAUCAUCUGCCUCUAUUCUGCGGGUACAUAUGUCUUAGUGCACUUGGAGAACCUAGGGGAGAUGCUUAUGAAAUUUUUACAAAUAUAUAAUCGACCAUUUAUCAUCUUUUGUAUGUGGAGAUGGUGCAAUUCUGAAUGGGUUAAGGCCUUAACCUUGCAUAUGUAUAGUAGUGAAUAAGGGGCGUACACAACAUAUCAAUGGUUAAUAAAUGGCUUAAUUCUAAGCACAUGUCCUAUUAAACCAGCUAUUUAGGAAAUGAGUUCAGAUCGGAUGUGAAUGUAUGCUAGGCUGAAGGAUGGGUUGUUGAACCCUGAUUUCCUACAAGGGAUUAAUGAAUUCAUCAUUUUUGCUAAGAGGCAUCCAAAAUGUAUGGAUGGAGAUGAACUUAAGUGUCCAUGUCAUAGAUAUAAGUGUCAGAACCUUAGUUUUGAAGAUGAGAAUACUGUUAAGUAACAUCUAAUGAAGCAUGUAUUCAUGCCAUCUUGUUAUGAAUGGUAUUUGUUAUUUGUAGUAUGCCCUAUAGCAUAUCAUUUAGUAUAUAUCUU
rnacentral:misc_RNA from 1 species